GAAUUUCUUCCUAAUAUCCAACCUGAAUGAGGGAAUCUACCCCACACCACCAGGAGCUCUUCACUGAUGUGGGCACAAAUCAGGUAACCUCCUCCAUUUCCACCCAUCACUUGGUUCGGUUUGUGUUACUUAGAAACUUGUCCCCUCUUCAUACCAUUUCCAGGAGAUUUCCAUUCAAUUUACUGUCUCCUGGCCACCCUCUGACCCACGAGAGGCAGAAGGGGACCUCUAGCCCCGCAUCAGCAGGCUACUGCUCUCAUGGGAGCACCAGACCACGUCUGAGGAGAAAUAAAUGCAAUCUGUGCUCAGCGAGAAGCUCUGGCAGAGCUUCACACUAACGCCUUCUGUUAAUUUCAGAGUCCCCUCAAGAGAAAAAAGGCAUAUAAAAAGGAAGCAGAAAUUCCUCAAGGAUAACGUUCUACAUGCUAGCAGGGAGGCAUCCCUACCAUGAGAAUAUUACAAAAAUAAAUCAUGGAAAUGCGUUUCUACCAGGGGAAUGCCCAGGAAUUAUUUUUUGGCCAAUGAAAUACUUGUAUGUAGCUGGCACCUUGAAUAUGAAGAUGCAUUGGAAAGGCAGCCACUCUCCAAUAAUGCAGAAGCUCUGCUUGUUUUAAGCAUCAACUGUGAUGACAUCAUUAAAAAAUCAGCAUCAUUACAACCACAAGUACCUUUUCCAUGUGAGAGCACAUAAAACAUUAUUAGUGAACUUCCGUCUCCUGACAUAUGUGUUGCACCCUCCAAAUGAGCUGGAAAGAAGGUAGAAAGUAGAGAUUUAUCAGGCAUCAAGUUCAGCCAUCCAAAUAUCACAGUCCUCGUUUUUGUUGCUAGCUGUACGCAAUUUUGAAAUGGUUUGUAAAUUUAAUUGUUGGUGUACGGAGUGUGCAGAGGCCAUGCACAAGCAACAGCACUGCUAGGAUUUGCAGCUCUGUUUCUUAGGCAAGUAGGACUAGCUCGCUUUGUUGGAAGCAAAAUCAAUCCUGAGCUGUUUCAGCAAGGUGGCAGCCAGAUAGGAUGACACUCAGUGCAGUGAACAUGCUUUCUGGGUCAGAAAUGGUAGCACUUCUGGGUCAUCAGUCACACCAGUUUAAAGCUGGAGAAAAGUUACCUGCUUGUAUUGCCUGUUGCUACUGCUUCCAAGGCUCAGGAGAUGAAAAUGGAGAAUCCUCUUCCUUUUACUGCACUUAAGUUAUGUAUAAUGAUAAUGAAUUAUGUUUUUUUUUUUUUUUUUCAGGCUGAUGGGAAUCAGCAUUCAUUUUGGGAUCUUUGCUAUUGAUGGGCAGUACUUAAGUUAGGCUUCACUAUAAAUUAAGAUUUAGAACAUGUCUUGUCCCAGUGUCCUCUUCUACUCUUUGUGGGUGUUACAACUUACCUGAAUGACUGGAUGCCACAUUAAACUGUUAUACUACACUACAGUCUAUGUCUGACUUUCUGAGGAUCUUGAACCUCACAACUAGAUCACUUUAAUCCACAGGUAUUUGUGCAAGAUUCAUUAGAUAUGGACAACAGUCUGAGGCUGGAAGAGGAAAAACUUUUGGAUGUUAGACAUUUCUAAUUCAUUCUUAGCUCUAUAUCAUAGGAACUUUUUGCUGGAAAAAGUAGGGGUUAUGAGUUGUAAAGCAAAAAUGCAGUCAAACGUGAUGUCUAUUAUUACUAUGUGAUCUUUGUGAUUAAUGCAAUGCAAUCUUCACUAUCUUUUCUUGUGCUUCUUUUAAAAGUCAAUUACCGAUACCAUCAGUGAACAAAACAACAUAGCUGAUGUUUCAGCAGCAGAUGACUGAGACAAGAUGCAACUGA